CAAAGUCGUAACUCCCAAAACCU
rnacentral:siRNA from 1 species